UCUUCCCUCUUUCCUCGUGCCUAAUACAUGCAAGUCGAGCGAACAGACGAGGAGCUUGCUCCUCUGACGUUAGCGGCGGACGGGUGAGUCACACGUGGAUAACCUACCUAUAAGACUGGGAUAACUUCGGGAAACCGGAGCUAAUACCGGAUAAUAUAUUGAACCGCAUGGUUCAAUAGUGAAAGACGGUUUUGCUGUCACUUAUAGCUGGAUCCGCGCCGCAUUAGCUAGUUGGUAAGGUAACGGCUUACCCAGGCAACGAUGCGUAGCCGAGCUGAGAGGGUGAUCGGCCACACUGGAACUGAGACACGGUCCAGACUCCUACGGGAGGCAGCAGUAGGGAAGCUUCCGCAAUGGGCGAAAGCCUGACGUAGCAACGCCGCGUGAGUGAUGAAGGUCUUCGGAUCGUAAAACUCUGUUAUUAGGGAAGAACAAAUGUGUAAGUAACUAUGCACGUCUUGACGGUACCUAAUCAGAAAGCCACGGCUAACUACGUG
rnacentral:rRNA from 1 species